AAGAUAUUCCCCACAUGAUGCAAAUGGCAAUAUUGUCUUCCAUAUCCCAAACACUUGCUUUUGUAUGGUUGAAUGCAUCUGGAACACGUUCCCAAAGUGGUUGUGCAAAUAGAUGGACAAAAUGUGCUUGCUCAAAGGAAGAUAGAUCUCAGGCAGUGAUAUUUUUUGUGUUUUUGUUUUGUGUUGCA
rnacentral:ribozyme from 1 species